CGCAGCCGCGGUAAUUCCAGCUCCAAUAGCGUAUAUUAAAGUUGUUGCAGUUAAAAAGCUCGUAGUUGAAUUUCGGGAUUAAUAUGUUGGUCGUGCCUUGGUACGUACUGGCAUUAUUGAUUCCUACCUUCUGAAGAACCUCGAUGUCAUUAAUUUGGUGUCUUGGGGAAUCAGGACCGUUACUUUGAAAAAUUAGAGUGUUUAAAGCAGGCUCGCGCUUGAAUACAUUAGCAUGGAAUAAUGAAAUAGGACGUUUGAUUCUAUUUUGUUGGUUUCUAGGAUCGACGUAAUGAUUAAUAGGGAUAGUUGGGGGCAUUAGUAUUCAAUUGUCAGAGGUGAAAUUCUUGGAUUUAUUGAAGACUGACUACUGCGAAAGCAUUUGCCAAGGAUGUUUUCAUUAAUCAAGAACGAAAGUUAGGGGAUCGAAGACGAUCAGAUACCGUCGUAGUCUUAACCAUAAACUAUGCCGACUAGGGAUCGGAUGAUGUUAAUUUUUUAAUGUACUCAUUCGGCGCCUUAC
rnacentral:misc_RNA from 1 species